rnacentral:rRNA from 1 species
AACGAACGCUGGCGGCAGGCUUAACACAUGCAAGUCGAGCGCCCCGCAAGGGGAGCGGCAGACGGGUGAGUAACGCGUGGGAACGUACCCUUUGCUACGGAAUAGCUCCGGGAAACUGGAAUUAAUACCGUAUGUGCCCUACGGGGGAAAGAUUUAUCGGCAAAGGAUCGGCCCGCGUCGGAUUAGCUAGUUGGUGGGGUAAUGGCCUACCAAGGCGACGAUCUAUAGCUGGUCUGAGAGGAUGAUCAGCCACACUGGGACUGAGACACGGCCCAGACUCCUACGGGAGGCAGCAGUGGGGAAUAUUGGACAAUGGGCGCAAGCCUGAUCCAGCCAUGCCGCGUGAGUGAUGAAGGCCUUAGGGUUGUAAAGCUCUUUCAGUGGGGACGAUAAUGACGGUACCCACAGAAGAAGCCCCGGCUAACUUCGUGCCAGCCGCCGCUGUAACAC